AUUGAACGCUGGCGGCAUGCUUUACACAUGCAAGUCGAACGGCAGCACGGGCUUCGGCCUGGUGGCGAGUGGCGAACGGGUGAGUAAUAUAUCGGAACGUACCCAGAAGUGGGGGAUAACGUAGCGAAAGUUACGCUAAUACCGCAUACGAUCUAUGGAUGAAAGCAGGGGACCGCAAGGCCUUGUGCUCCUGGAGCGGCCGAUAUCUGAUUAGCUAGUUGGUGAGGUAAAGGCUCACCAAGGCGACGAUCAGUAGCUGGUCUGAGAGGACGACCAGCCACACUGGAACUGAGACACGGUCCUGACUCCUACGGGAGGCAGCAGUGGGGAAUUUUGGACAAUGGGCGCAAGCCUGAUCCAGCAAUGCCGCGUGAGUGAAGAAGGCCUUCGGGUUGUAAAGCUCUUUUGUCAGGGAAGAAACGGUAGAGGCUAAUAUCCUUUGCUAAUGACGGUACCUGAAGAAUAAGCACCGGCUAACUACGUG
rnacentral:rRNA from 1 species